GAAGUUGUAGGUUAAGCGUAGAAAACCCCGGGCCUUCAAAGCCUGUAAUGAGUGUUCCAACUUCG
rnacentral:tRNA from 1 species